GAUGAAGAACGUAGCGAAAUGCGAUAACUAGUGUGAAUUGCAGAAUUCCGUGAAUCAUCGAGUCUUUGAACGCACAUUGCGCCCCCUGGUAUUCCGGGGGGCAUGCCUGUCCGAGCGUCAUUGCUGCCCAUCAAGCACGGCCUGUGUGUUGGGUCGUCGUCCCCUCUCCGGGGGGGACGGGCCCCAAAGGCAGCGGCGGCACCGCGUCCGAUCCUCGAGCGUAUGGGGCUUUGUCACCCGCUCUGUAGGCCCGGCCGGCGCUUGCCGAACGCAAAUCAAUCUUUUCCAGGUUGACCUCGGAUCAGGUAGGGAUACCCGCUGAACUUAAGCAUAUCAAUAAGCGGAGGA
rnacentral:misc_RNA from 1 species